GAUAAACGCUGGCGGCGCACAUAAGACAUGCAAGUCGAACGAACUUAAUCGGAAGUUUACUUUUGAAGCGGUUAGUGGCGGACUGGUGAGUAACGCGUAAGUAACCUGCCUAUCAGAGGGGAAUAACAGUGAGAAAUCAUUGCUAAUACCGCAUAUGCUGUGAGUAACGCAUGUUACAAACAGGAAAGGAGCAAUCCGCUGAUAGAUGGACUUGCGUCUGAUUAGCUAGUUGGUGGGGUAACGGCCUACCAAGGCGACGAUCAGUAGCCGGACUGAGAGGUUGAACGGCCACAUUGGGACUGAGAUACGGCCCAGACUCCUACGGGAGGCAGCAGUCGGGAAUAUUGCGCAAUGGAGGAAACUCUGACGCAGUGACGCCGCGUAUAGGAAGAAGGUCUUCGGAUUGUAAACUAUUGUCGUUAGGGAAGAGAAAGGACAGUACCUAAGGAGGAAGCUCCGGCUAACUACGCCGCGGAGCCGCGGUAAUACGUAGGGAGCGAGCGUUAUCCGGAUUUAUUGGGUGUAAAGGGUGCGUAGACGGGAGAAUAAGUUAGUUGUGAAAUCCCUCGGCUUAACUGAGGAACUGCAACUAAAACUAUUUUUCUUGAGUGCAGGAGAGGAAAGUGGAAUUCCUAGUGUAGCGGUGAAAUGCGUAGAUAUUAGGAGGAACACCAGUGGCGAAGGCGACUUUCUGGACUGUAACUGACGUUGAGGCACGAAAGUGUGGGGAGCAAACAGGAUUAGAUACCCUGGUAGUCCACACCGUAAACGAUGGAUACUAGGUGUAGGGGAUGAAUAAUCUUCUGUGCCGUCGCAAACGCAGUAAGUAUCCCACCUGGGGAGUACGGCCGCAAGGUUGAAACUCAAAGGAAUUGACGGGGGCCCGCACAAGCAGUGGAGUAUGUGGUUUAAUUCGACGCAACGCGAAGAACCUUACCAGGGCUUGACAUAUACAUGAAAGUCUAAGAAAUUAGACCCCUCUUCGGAGCGUGUAUACAGGUGGUGCAUGGUUGUCGUCAGCUCGUGUCGUGAGAUGUUGGGUUAAGUCCCGCAACGAGCGCAACCCUUAUGGAUAGUUACUACGCAAGAGGACUCUAUUCAGACUGCCGUUGACAAAACGGAGGAAGGUGGGGAUGACGUCAAAUCAUCAUGCCCUUUAUGACUUGGGCUACACACGUACUACAAUGGCGUUCAACAAAGAGAAGCGAAAUCGCGAGAUGGAGCAAAACUCAAAAACAACGUCCCAGUUCAGAUUGCAGGCUGCAACUCGCCUGCAUGAAGUCGGAAUUGCUAGUAAUCGCAGAUCAGCAUGCUGCGGUGAAUACGUUCCCGGGCCUUGUACACACCGCCCGUCACACCAUGAGAGCCGGGGGGACCCGAAGUCGGCAGUCUAACCGCAAGGAGGACGCCGCCGAAGGUAAAACUGGUGAUUGGGGUGA
rnacentral:rRNA from 1 species